GUGCUCAUUUCGGCAGAACAUAUAUUAAAAUUGGAACAAUACAGAGAACAUUAGCAUGGCCCCUGUGCAAGGAUGACAUGCAAAUUUGUGAAGCAUUACAGAGGAAA